rnacentral:rRNA from 1 species
ACGUAGGGUGCGAGCGUUGUCCGGAAUUAUUGGGCGUAAAGAGCUCGUAGGCGGUGUGCCGCGUCGGCCGUGAAAACUUGGGGCUUAACUCUGAGCUUGCGGUCGAUACGGGCAUCACUGGAGUUCGGCAGGGGAGACUGGAAUUCCUGGUGUAGCGGUGAAAUGCGCAGAUAUCAGGAGGAACACCGGUGGCGAAGGCGGCGCUCUGGAACGUUCCUGACACUGAGGCUCGAAAGCGUGGGGAGCAAACAGGA